GAACGCUGGCGGCAGGCCUAACACAUGCAAGUCGAACGGUAACAGGAAGAAGCUUGCUCUUGCUGACGAGUGGCGGACGGGUGAGUAAUGUCUGGGAAACUGCCUGAUGGAGGGGGAUAACUACUGGAAACGGUAGCUAAUACCGCAUAACGUCGCAAGACCAAAGAGGGGGACCUUCGGGCCUCUUGCCAUCGGAUGUGCCCAGAUGGGAUUAGCUUGUUGGUGGGGUAACGGCUCACCAAGGCGACGAUCCCUAGCUGGUCUGAGAGGAUGACCAGCCACACUGGAACUGAGACACGGUCCAGACUCCUACGGGAGGCAGCAGUGGGGAAUAUUGCACAAUGGGCGCAAGCCUGAUGCAGCCAUGCCCGCGUGUAUGAAGAAGGCCUUCGGGUUGUAAAGUACUUUCAGCGGGGAGGAAGGGAGUAAAGUUAAUACCUUUGCUCAUUGACGUUACCCGCAGAAGAAGCACCGGCUAACUCCGUGCCAGCCGCCGC
rnacentral:rRNA from 1 species